GAAGAUUUAACGAAUUUUUUCGAGAUUUUUUAUGAUGAAACUGUCAAAAAGAAAGAAAAAGUAAAACUUUUCCUUAAAGUCAUUGAGAAACAAAUUGAAAUGUAUAUUUAUACCAUUAAUGGAGAAGGUCCUGAUAAUUAUCUUCUAUGCUUGAAAGAAUUUUUUC